rnacentral:tRNA from 1 species
GAAAAUCCGUUGGCUUUUUAGACCGUGAGGGUUCAAGUCCCUCUACCCCC